UACAGAGGAGCCAAGCGUUGUCCGGAUUGACUGGGCGUAAAGCGCACGCAGGCGGAUGCGCGCGUGGGGUGUGAAAUCUGGCCGCUUAACGGCCAGGCGCCAUCCCAUACGGCGCGUCUGGAGUGAUGCAGAGGUCGGUGGAAUUGCCGGUGUAGUGGUGAAUGCGUAGAGAUCGGCAGGAACACCCAGGGGGAAACCAGCCGACUGGGCAUCUACUGACGCUGAGGAGCGAAAGCGUGGGGAGCGAACAGG
rnacentral:rRNA from 1 species